UACGUAGGUGGCAAGCGUUGUUCGGAUUUACUGGGCGUAAAGAGCGCGCAGGCGGCUGGUCAAGUCCGAUGUGAAAUCUCCCGGCUCAACUGGGAAACUGCAUCGGAAACUGAUCGGCUUGAAGGUGGGAGAGGGUGAGUGGAAUUCCCGGUGUAGUGGUGAAUGCGUAGAUAUCGGAAGGAACACCAGUGGCGAAAGCGGCUCCUGGUCCAGCACCGACGUCAGGCACGAAAGCGUGGG
rnacentral:rRNA from 1 species